ensembl:snRNA U6 U6 spliceosomal RNA
GUGCUCACUUGGGCAGUACAUAUACUAAAAUUGAUAUGAUAUAGAGACUAUUAGCAUGGCCCCUGCAGAAGGAUGACAUGCAAAUUCAUAAAACAUUCCACAUUUUA